CUUUCCAGCAAUUCCAAUACCAAUUGCAACAAGAAAAUUGUGACACCCCAUGUCUGUUACUGAAUACAAACGAAUCAAAAAAGAUCAGGGUUGCAACAAAACUUGAUAUCAACUCAAAAGAACGGACGAAAGAAACAAAGAGAGAAACAGAGCAGUAUAUAAACUAUUGGUCCGUAUAUAAACUAUUUUCCUAGAAAGAUUCUUUGAUUUGGAAACGAUGAUAGCAGUAAAUGGAGGCAGAAUGAAAAGUUACGACAACUUGCGAUUUCUUCUGGUUCCAUCAUCUCCAGGUUUUGGUUGCAGCUGGUGUUUGUGCGGCAAUUGGGCAGCUGCCCAAGCCUUUAACUAAUGUAAUUCUGUAUGGGAAAGAGUUUGAUUUCAAGGCAACCGCUGCCUGCUCCCCUUCCACUCAUUCCUCUUUUAGAAGUGGCUACUGCAACAACACUUGGCCUUGAAAGGGGACUUUAGGAUUCAGUAUUUGGCUUAACUGUAGUUUAUGCAAGUCUUGUAAUGGGGUGAGAAGAGAAGUCGGAAACCAAGCAAGAGUAGUGAACAAAACUUUGCCUCAAAUUACAAGGGUGAACACAAUCUCAUCCAAAGAUAGAGGUAGACACAGUUCUCAGCCUAAAACAUCAUCUUCAUUACAGUUGGAUAGGCUCAAGUCCCUUGCAUUGGGGAUAGAGAAGCAGGGUGUCAUUGCCAUCCAUAGGGUUAAAGGGAAGAGUAAACAGUUGGGAGUUGGUGGGACAGCGACGUUAUCACUCGGAAGCUUAGUGAGAAGGAAUCUAGACAAUCUUUUUCUAAGGGUGUGAGGCUUCAAUUGUGCACUGGGUAUAUAGAUGGUCUAUAAUCUAGAUGUACUCAGUUAAAUGCUACAUGGUCUAGAGUUUACAACUGCACGUGGAAAGGAGCCGCCUUCACGACCAUGUAAGUCGCCGCCCCAGGAUCAAAACCCCCAGAAGAAAUGAGCAGAGGACCUCAAUCAGGGUUCAAAAGAUCUAAGGAUCAAAGGUUGCAGAAUGAGUACACGACACACCCUCCAAGCUCGAAAUAGAUACAAAUGGUCAGGAAAUAUUUAUUAAUUUUGUCUUAGAUUCAUUUUUCAAAUUUCUAGUGUUUUUCAUGGUUUUCCAUUUAAAUGGAAGUUUUGGAAGUAAUAUUUCAUUCAUUGUUCCGUAUAUUAUUAACUGGUAAGCCACAAGUUUUUUUGUUUUUACAUUUAUUUAGUUAAAAAAUUGCAAUUCACUGCCAGAAUAUAGUAAAAUAUAAAAGAAGAUUAAUUUCUUUGAUAAAAAAAAAGAUUAAUUUUGUCAAAAAUAAGAAUAUUAACAUAAUCCCAUCAAUGAAAAAAAUUACCCAAACAAUUCAAUUAUAAAUUUCAUCACUUAAAUCCCUUCAUUGUAAGCUUCCUUCAUCUUAAGGUCCACUCACCUUAAAAUCCUAUUACCUUAAAGUUCCUUAGAACCUUCAAAUUCCUUACCCAAAUACUCCUUUAGAUUUCGCUGAUGUGUGUAUAGAAGUGUAUUUUGGGUAACUGUUCAAGCUUAGUAUUGUGGUGUGGUUGAUAACUGGCAGUUUAGGUUUAACUAUCAACUGUAUGAUCAAAGAGUACGUGCUACUCUGUUCGGUAACACUUGCAUAAGUGUUAUUGAUGAUCAAUAACAUGUAUAUGUUAAUGACCAUUAGUAACAAUAUCUUAGCUAUUCACUGUCAGUGACAAAUGUCAUCUUAGUUAUUGACUUUAGUAACAAUUGUGUAUCUGCUAUUGUCUCUGCAUACCAAUAGCAAUAUUUUUGUGUUUUGCUUUUGCUUAUGGUAUAUUUGUGUAGUUCAAAGCCUUAUUUUACAAAUAAACCAAAAAAUUUGUUAUUGGCUGUUAGUAGCUAUAUUUGCUAUGAUCAUCAGUAGUAUCAUUUGCAAUUGAUCUUCAGUAACACCAUUUAUUAUGGACUUUUAGUAGCUAAGGACUGAUAUGGAUACAGGUAUGUGGAUAAAGUACGGUGCCAACACGUGAAAACGACAUAUUCUAGAUGUUUUCUGAUACAUGUAUGAGAAGAAUACGGCGAAUAAAUAUAUGCUCUUAAUUUAUUUAUAUAUAAUUAGAAAUGAAUAAAAAUAGUAUAAAAAUAAGAUGAACAAAAAGCAAACAUUAUAGUGUUAUUGAGUUUUAUAUCUAGGUUUGUUAUUUUUCUCUCCACAACCCUAGCAGUCCGGCUGCCUCGGAUCUCCUUAGGUCGAUUCAAGCGUCGCUUUGUCUUCGUUAAGAGGAGCACAAUGCUUUCGACUGUUUUUGCUCAACACUGAGAUUGUGGAAGGCUUUUGAGAUUUUCCAAUUGAUCAGUAGCUUGCUCUAUAUCAAUUGGUGUUUGUUUCUCGAUUGGCGGUGAAGGAUUACGAUGGCAACAGGGUUUGUGGUGUCCUGUGGCUGCAACAUCUGUAGCAUAGGUGGGUUCAAUGUGAAAUUUCGAUUAGUCCGUUAGAUUUGGGGUGCAAAGGUUGUCUUGGUGGUGGUGCUUAGGCUCUCGUCCAUGGCUUUCUAGGGUGGGGGGACCGCCAGAGGUAGAAGUUGUAGCGAUGGUGAUAAGUGUAGCAUUGGCGAUGAUGUUGGGGGUGGUGGUGGCCUGUUUGUUAGCGGUGUUGGUCAUGAAGGUGGUGGCCUGGUGUUGUGGUGGGUGGGUUUGUACAGAGGCUGUUAGGAUUGCUUGAUUAGAUUGAUCUCCUCUAUUUUACCCCUUUUGAGUUCAGGAAUUGGGUCCAAAGCUUCAAGAAGCUUUGUAGCGUCUUCCCUUAAGCUUCCCCGCAUUAAUGUUGGCUUGCUGUGGUGGCAUGCUUGCGAUAUAUAGGUAGAAACUUCAUAUAGCAUUAAUAGAUGAACAAAAGUACAUGAAAAGGCUUGCAAGAAGGCAUGUGGUGUGGGAGCUAAAAAUACACGAGUUGCAGAAGAUGAGAGCUUGCUAUGGCUAAAGGUUUGCUGCGGUGUAAUCUACUACAGUGAGGAGAGAAUGGAUUUUGGUGGUGGUUGUUGGGUUUAAGUUCGUUUAGAGCUUGAAAAUGGUUUUGGAUUGGAGGCUGGGAAUGCUUGGCCUGUUGCUUGAGGCUUGCUUGAAAGAUGUAUUGUUUAGAGGUUCUGAGAUCUGUUGCCUAUAGGUUGUGUGAUGUCCCUUUGCAGCAACUAGCUAGAAGCUCUAAUUUAUAGGUUGGAAGAGGUGAGGCCAAGAUACAGGUUCAUGGGAUGAAACUAUUUGACUUAAAAGAGAACUACAAUAUUAAAGCCAAAUCUACAGAACAAGGCAAAAACCACAUGGCUCAGAGGUAGUGUCUGUUGUACUAGUUUGCUUGAAUUAUGAUAUUUGAGUAGCAAACUUCUAGGGAAUAGCUGCUGUGGUUAUAGUCUAAGUUGAAUUGACACUAGGCCAAUAACCUUAACACAUAACACUUUUUGCACAACGAAAAAAAAAAAUUUGUUGUGUGAUGAGGAAAAGUGAAUCAUACAACAUAUUUGAAAAACUUACGUCAUGUAAGGCUGUUAAAAUUCAGAAGUUUUUAGCUAGAAGGCCAUUGCACAACACUUACAAGAAUAGUUUGUUGUGUGAAUGAAAAAAAAAAAAUAAGCGGCAGAUUUCCCUCCUAGCUUGACUCAAAUAUGUCAUGACCUGCCAACUUACAUUCGGUGGGUGAACAAUAUCUGACAUAGCAACCUAAAUGGUAGAAAUGAAAGGCAAAAAGCAGUGAAUAGUAUUAACCUGCCAACCUCAACGGGUGGACUUCCUCUAACGUCAAAACUGAUACUUUGACUGCACAUAGUCAGACAACGUAACUUCAUUUAUGUGUUGUGUGAUUCAGGAAUUCAAAAUUAGAAAAACAAAUUGCCCGCCUUUGACAACUAAAUUAGGGCGACUCUGUCUCCCACUUGGACAAAAUAGUAGUUUUCUAUCACUUGCACAUAAUACCUCUGCCUUUUCAGUCCUCUUCUUAUUCUGUCUAUCUCUUAGAAGCCGACCAAUUUUCUCUCUCAUCUCCUCUCACUGCAAACCGAAAAGGAAAAAGCUCAAAGUUCUGGUUCUUAGCAACAUCACCACAAAGAUCGGGAAGAGACACUCUUCAUCCUCUCUUCAACGGAACUACUACAAAAGAAUUUUGAACUUCAGAUUCGGGUUUUGGUUUGAGUUCCAAAAGAUGUAGCGGUUCAGUAAGAGGCUUCAAUUCGUCCUCAGUGAGGCUUGAUUUCGUGCUCAAGGCGGUCGCUCAGUGUUGGUUGUUGUUGUCCCUGCUAUGGAGAAGCUCUCUCUAAUCCUUUCCAUGAGACACUGAAAGAAAGUUUCAAUGGCCCAAACAAGACCACACCUUUCUUCUCUACCACCCCAGAUUCCAGCUUCAGUCACAAGGGAAAGAUAGGUGAAUCUUGUUCCAAGUUGAAGAGCAAGUCAAGAAGCCUUAGUCCAAGGAGAUUGCUGGGAUGAAAGCUUUGGACAGCUUUACACUCGUUAUGAAAGGCGAGGCCAAAAGAGUUGUAUCUUCACAACAACUUUGGUAUGAAGUUUUGAAAUCCCAAAUUAAAAGAGGAACUCCGCACAUGCUUUUUAAGAUAAUAUUGAUCUAGUAAAAGACGGAGCAUGUAGCUGAUGCUGGGGAGGCAGAUGGGGAACUAGAUUUGACUCCACCAGCUCCACCAACCAUUCCACCCAAUGUGAAGCCAGAAGUCCUGAUUUCUCCCUAGUAUUCUGUACCAAUUCAUUGUCAAAGUACUAGAUCGAUGAAAAAUACUUUUGGGUUGUUUAGUGAACAUAUGCCACUUUGGCUUAGAUGAUUGGGGAAAUUUCCUAUUUUACAUUUGAAGUUUAUAGUAUGGGUUGGAUUAGUCAUUUGAUGGUUUGCAAUCAGUUUUAUUUCUAAUUAAUUAUUGUUCAUUAGGUAAAAUGGAGCAUUAUUUAUGCACAAAAUCAAGGGAAUGAAAAUGAUUAUACAACAGGUCUAAUAUAAAGUUAAUGCAACGUUGUCUAAAUACACAAAAUUUGGAUAUCCACACAAUGCAUUUUUAUACAUCACACAAUGGUUCAAAAAAUUAUGUCUUCUCAUUUUCUCUUGCACAAUAGAAAACACUAGAACCACGUUGUCUGACUAAGAUAACCAACAACAGCUUUGAAAUAAGUUCUGUUGUAUGAAUGCCGCACCUUCCAUGCUACGCAUGGUUGCGCGGCAGCUGUGCUUGGCAUCUGCCGAGAGAAGGCACAAUGCUUAUAACAAAAAGAUGUUGACUGUUUGUAUAUCAUACAACGGUGGAGAACCGUUGUGCCAUUUUUCAACAGGCAAUGCUCCGAUACACAACGGGGGUUGUCCAUAUCCCACAACGAAUUAGGUCCAUCGUGUGUUUCAUUUUUUGUCAUAGUGUGAUAUAGGAGAAGUUAGAAGAGGUGAUAUCUCAUUGGGAAGAGCUGCAUGUUACCUUCGGAAUAGCUUGUAGCAAUCUAGAACUGAGAAUAAAUAAAAGAAGAAAUUUGAUUGAGGCUUUGUAAAAGCGAGUACUAUUCUUUGUGCGGCUGGAAAAGAUACUGGUUUUAUGGUUAAGGCAGAUAAUUGUGUUUUUAUGGAUUAUCAUGUUUUAAAGAUAUGUUAGACUCACUAUUGAUUAUAAUGAUAUCAAUUUUUUUUUUUUUUUUUAAAGACAGACAGAACAAUAAUAUAUCUAUUCCAAGUUGUCGCAGAAUUUUGCUUGAUGAUCACUUGACCGCUCUGUUUGAGCGAACAUGAAGAGAAGGAGAAAAACAGCGGAUUGAUUUUUUGAGAAUCACGAUGAGAUUAGGUUUAUCCACCCUUUUUCUUUUUCUUUUUUUCUUUUUUUUCUUGUACUGUUCGUUAGGGUGAGAAAGUACAAUAUUACCCCAUAAUCCCUUUUAAUUACGAAAAAAAGGUAUCCAAAACAGAUACGACGUGUUGGAACGCGUAUCCAUAUCUGGGUGUGUUGGAUACACAUAUGCUAUCCCAUAUCAAUACGAGAUUCGUUUCAAAUUUGGCAUAUGCGUGCUUCAUAGGUCAAUAGCAAAAUUUAUGUGUUUUGCUUUUUGAGUUCUCUAAUUGAUGUUUUUAUGGGGCUUGAUGAUAGUUUAUGCUUUAUAUACUUUUCUACUAAUUGAACAACCAUUAUGGGCAUCUCUAACAGACUAGCAAUUUAAAAAAAAAGUUAAAAAUUUCACUAAUUUGAGAUAGUUUAGCACUCUAGUAGAAUAGCUAUAUGAAAGUCAAAUUUGCCUUUUGCUAAAAUCUCUAUCUAAAUUUAUCUAGGGAGGAGAGAGAAAAUAACAAAAAGCUAAACACUCCACGUUCAAUUAUUAUUAUUAUUUUUAGUUCAGCCAACACUGUUGGAGCAAAAACUAGAAAUUUAUUAACUAUAUUUAACUUUUAGAUGAUUUAGCUAAAAAAAUAGCUUCUACUGUUGAAUAUGUUUCAAUCUGCCAACUAACCAAGGCAGUUGUGGCAGCUAUCUUUGCCACCAAUUAUGUUGUUUUGCCACCAAUUAUGUUGUUCUUAUUUCUUUCAUGAUGCUCUUUGAGGAAGGAAGAGCCUGUUAAAACUUAAAAGCUAGAAUUAUGUUCUUUGCCUUUUAUAACAUGAUCGCUCAAGACGCAAUUUGCGCACCAUAAAUGAUUUGUUUUCUCGUAGCGUUUAUUUUUAUUGUAUUAUGUAAAAUCAUUACGUUUGACUUUCUAGUUUGAUUCCUUUUGAAAACAUAUACAUGGAGAAGAACAUAUAUAAUUGACAAUAAAAGAAAAUGUGAUUACUAAUGUUGAAAUUUAUGAUAUAUUUAUAUUAAAACAAAAGAUUAGAUUCAAUUUAACCCCUUGAACUUUAGGGCUAAAAUCAGUCUGAUCCUUAAACAUUUUUUUUAAUCAUGUUGGUCCUUGUACUCUCAAAGAACAUCACCCGAGUCCAAAAUUUGAAUCUAGGUAAAAAAAUGACGUCACUUGCUGAGUUGGAGCAGACAUGGGACCCACACUUCAGCUUUUUAAACCCUGAAGGAGGGCAGAAUGGACAUUCUUACAAUAAAAAGAUUUUUUUUUUUUUAAAUGAUUAAAUACUGUUUACUCCCUACACUUAUAGGGUUUUAUCGUUUCAGUUCCUGACCUUCGAAUUUCACCUAAAAAGUUCCUGAACUCUCAAUUUCCUCCCAAUUGGUCCCUACCGUCAAAAUUUUCUGUUAAAGUUGUCUAUUAUGCCCUCACUGAAACGAUGAAACCCUAUAAGUAUAGGGAGUAAGCAGUAUUUAACCCAAAAAAAAAACUCAUAGAAUGUCUUUGUGCAGCCAGAAAUCGGAGAAGUCUCUCCACGGCACCAAACCUAUCCAAUUCCCUUUCCUUCUUCUUCUUCUUCCGAACCCAUCAAAACCCAAACUCAAACCCAGUUGCUAUCAAAUUCAAAUCCAAAACCCAAACUCAAAUCCAGUUGCUAUCAAAUUCAAAUCCACUGUCUUCGAUCUCACCCUUGAUGGCCAUGAGCAGUGACUUAGAGCCCCAAAACCAUCACAUCCCCUAGUUUACAUAACUAAGAUAGGCCUCAAUUUCCAACUUCCUGAUAAAAAAUUCCAACUCUAAUCCACCUAGUAGCUAACAUUCAAGGAAGCACAACCAAAUCUACUGAGAAUGAUCAACUCCCAUAAUCAAAAUCUCUGUAGAAACCCAGCAUGCAGUAGUAACAAGAUCCAGAACCCAAAAACAGAAGAGACCCAAAAAAGGAAGAAUUAACCAACUUUUGUUCACUGAAACAAGCAAUUGGGGAGAAAGCCCUCAACUUUGAAUCCUAGAAAACUUGAAAUUGAGAAAACAAGGGAGACCCAGAUGAGAAAACAUGGAAAAAUCAAGGAAGCAGAGGGAAAACCCACCGGCCCAGAAGAUUGAAGAAUAGAAAAAAUUGAAAGAGACCCAGAUGAGGAAAUUGAGGAACUUGAACAACCCAGAAGAGAAUGGCUAGAGAUGAGUGUGGUGAAUAAUGAAGGCAGCUCCUUCGCGUCGAAGCGUACUCUCUCUCCUUCCUCCGUCACUUCUCGCUGAGCCACUCAGUGUUCCACCACUAGUUCUUCCACAGGUUUCGUCACCUGCAGAUUGCAGCAUGGCUUGGAGAAGGGCGCCUGAUUGGCCAAGGGUGUCGUUGGAGCGAAGGUCCGCUUGGAUCUGAGCGAAGAGUAUAUCCAUUUCAGAAUUCUGAAGGUUUGGUUCGAUCCGAUCUAGGAGGAGGACGAGGAGCGAGACUGCGUGGCGUUUUCUUCGUCGUCCGCAAAGCUGAAGAACAUGGGGGCUUGGUUUUGACGCCUCUUGGGCUUGGCGGAGGAGGAGAGUUUUGAUAGGGAUUUGAGAGUGGAGGUGGUAAAAGGGGUUUCGGCGUCGUUAGAGUGGUCGCCAAUAUAGAGAGAGAGAGAGAGAGAGAGAGAGAGAGAGAGAGAGAGAGAGAGAAAAUUAAAAAUUAUAUUAA